UUACGGCCACAUCAGGCUGAAACCCCAGUUCCCGUACUAUCAUCGGAGUUAAGCAGCGUCAAACCUGGUCAGUACCUAGAUGAGUGACCGCUUGGGAAUAGCAGGUGCUGUAAG